UACGUAGGGCGCAAGCGUUGUCCGGAAUUAUUGGGCGUAAAGAGCUCGUAGGCGGUUUGUCGCGUCUGUCGUGAAAGCUUGGGGCUUAACCCCAAGUCUGCGGUGGAUACGGGCAGACUAGAGGCAGGUAGGGGAGAACGGAAUUCCCGGUGUAGCGGUGAAAUGCGCAGAUAUCGGGAGGAACACCGGUGGCGAAGGCGGAUCUCUGGGCCGAUACUGACGCUGAGGAGCGAAAGCGUGGGGAGCGAACAGG
rnacentral:rRNA from 1 species